AACGAACGCUGGCGGCAGGCCUAACACAUGCAAGUCGAGCGAAGCCUUCGGGCUUAGCGGCGGACGGGUGAGUAACGCGUGGGAACGUGCCCUUUGCUACGGAAUAGCCCCGGGAAACUGGGAGUAAUACCGUAUGUGCCCUUUGGGGGAAAGACUUAUCGGCAAAGGAUCGGCCCGCGUUGGAUUAGGUAGUUGGUGGGGUAAUGGCCUACCAAGCCGACGAUCCAUAGCUGGUUUGAGAGGAUGAUCAGCCACACUGGGACUGAGACACGGCCCAGACUCCUACGGGAGGCAGCAGUGGGGAAUCUUAGACAAUGGGCGCAAGCCUGAUCUAGCCAUGCCGCGUGAUCGAUGAAGGCCUUAGGGUUGUAAAGAUCUUUCAGGUGGGAAGAUAAUGACUGUACCACCAGAAGAAGCCCCGGCUAACUCCGUGCCAGCCGCCGCCGCGGUAA
rnacentral:rRNA from 1 species